rnacentral:rRNA from 1 species
AACGUAGGAGACAAACGUUAUCCGGAGUUACUGGGCGUAAAGGGCGUGUAGGUGGUUUCGUAAGUCUGGCGUGAAAUUUUUCGGCUUAACCGGGAAAGGUCGUCGGAUACUGCGGAGCUAGAGGACGGUAGAGGCGUGUGGAAUUCCGGGUGUAGUGGUGAAAUUCGUAGAGAUCCGGAGGAACACCAGUGGCGAAGGCGACACGCUGGGCCGUACCUGACACUGAUGCGCGACAGCAUGGGGAGCAAACAGG